GUAGGUGGCAAGCGUUGUCCGGAAUUAUUGGGCGUAAAGCGCGCGCAGGCGGUUCUUUAAGUCUGAUGUGAAAGCCCACGGCUCAACCGUGGAGGGUCAUUGGAAACUGGAGAACUUGAGUACAGAAGAGGAAAGCGGAAUUCCACGUGUAGCGGUGAAAUGCGUAGAGAUGUGGAGGAACACCAGAGGCGAAGGCGGCUUUCUGGUCUGUAACUGACGCUGAGGCGCGAAAGCGUGGGGAGCAAACAGGAUUAGAUACCCUGGUAGUCCACGCCGUAAACGAUGAGUGCUAAGUGUUAGGGGGUUUCCGCCCCCCUUAGUGCUGCAGCUAACGCAUUAAGCACUCCGCCUGGGAUACGGCCGCGAGGCUG
rnacentral:rRNA from 1 species